ensembl:snRNA U6 U6 spliceosomal RNA
AUGCCCACUUCCGCAGCACAUACACUAAAAUUGGAAUGAUACAGAGAAGAUUAGCAUGGCCCUUGCACAAGAAUGACAUGCAAAUCUGUGAAGCAUUCCAUAUUUUU